GAUGCUAUGUAACCCAUACAGUUCUGGAAUGUAUUGGAUAACAGUGACAGCAUUAUGUCAGUGUUAUCCAAUAGAUUCCAGAACUGUAAGGGUUACAUAGCAUCAUAAAUCAAUAUAAGGCUGUGCGACCCCAGGAGUGCUGGAAAUUCAGGACGGGAGCAGCUCUGCGAGUCCGGAGUGUACCACUCGCUCGUCUGAACGGGGCCUUACUGUAUGCAAAACCCUGAAAAGGUGAUUUCUUUGUUAAUCCCAAGAUCUUGAACUGUUUCCCAAAGAGGAAGCCAGGAAUUAAGUGUAUUCCUGUAUUGAGAAGUUAUCCCCUAUCCAUUGGAUAGAGAACUGUCAGACUGGUGGGUGUUCAACCAUUAGGACCCCCAAGAUCAUGAGAAUGGUGGUCCCACGUCCCUGUUUGAAUGGAGUGGGGGCGUGGAAUCACCAUUCUCAUGAACUUUAAUACAUCAGUUUGUCAAGUUUGAGAUUUUAGUUUAGCCAAUUUGAAAAUAGAAUGGCAAAAUCUGCAUCCAAGCCCAAACUAUUUGCUUUUCUAUGUCAAGUCACUAUUUUGUUAGUCACAGAGAAUAUGUUUGUGCUUCCUACAGGUCAGUUGUGCUCAUAUAUUGACAUAAGGGUGCCUUCAUAUCUGGCGUAAUAGAGGAAAAAUCCACUGGAGAAAUUUACACCAUGUAUUCCUAUGAGUGGAGAUCUGCAAUGCAUACAUGGCUCCAACUUCUGCAUCCAGUUUUUCAACCAUGGAAUGUAUUUCCUCAGCUUUUUCUGUGUGUUGCCGAUUUCUGAUGUGCAAUUUCGCACCCAAAUCUGUAACACAAAACUGCAACAGUUUUUGCUGCAGCGAAAGCACCCUCUAUUACUAUCCAAGAAGACCCUAUGCAACAGAUCUCCAAAUGAUGGCUUCCUGGAGCUUGGUGAGUUUAACAUGGAGGGAAAAAGAAGAUACUGUGGUCAAGCCAUUUUUAUGACUCUGUACCACUUUAUUUUAAUUUUGAGUGAAAUAAAUACGGGUUAAAAUAGUAUAAAUCUCAUCUUUCAAACCCACCAUUGCUCCAGUGCUGACAGUUCUCUGGUUUCUUGCUGGUUCAUGCUUAGACCACUGCGGUGAUGAUGUCAUCUCAUCAUGUGAUCUAGGCAGCCAAUUGCUGACCAUAGUGGUGACAUGUCACCAUUGUAUCCAUUGAUUGGCUGCUGCAGUUGUGUGUUAAGAUGGCAUUUCAUUACCGCAGUGGAGUAGACGACGUCCAGCAGGGGAACAGGAAGAGCAUGAGAAAAGAGUAUGGAAGAGAAUAUGAACGGCAGAAA